AUUGAACGCUGGCGGCAGGCCUAACACAUGCAAGUCGAGCGGGGUUUUCGGACCUAGCGGCGGACGGGUGAGUAAUGCGUAGGAAGCUGCCCGAUAGAGGGGGAUACCAGUUGGAAACGACUGUUAAUACCGCAUAAUGUCUACGGACCAAAGUGUGGGACCUUCGGGCCACAUGCUAUCGGAUGCGCCUACGUGGGAUUAGCUAGUUGGUGAGGUAAUGGCUCACAAAGGCGACGAUCUCUAGCUGGUUUGAGAGGAUGAUCAGCCACACUGGAACUGAGACAAGGUCCAGACUCCUACGGAAGGCAGCAGUGGGGAAUAUUGGACAAUGGGCGCAAGCCUGAUCCAGCCAUGCCGCGUGUGUGAAGAAGGCCUUCGGGUUGUAAAGCACUUUCAGCGAGGAGGAAGGGUGGUGUGUUAAUAGCACAUCAUUUUGACGUUACUCGCAGAAGAAGCACCGGCUAACUCUGUGCCAGCCGCCGCGGUAAGAC
rnacentral:rRNA from 1 species